rnacentral:rRNA from 1 species
CCUACGGGAGGCAGCAGUGAGGAAUAUUGGUCAAUGGGCGCGAGCCUGAACCAGCCAAGUAGCGUGAAGGAUGACUGCCCUAUGGGUUGUAAACUUCUUUUAUAAAGGAAUAAAGUGAGCCACGUGUGCCUUUUCGUAUGUACCUUAUGAAAAAGGAUCGGCUAACUCCGUGCCAGCAGCCGCGGUAAUACGGAGGAUGCGAGCGUUAUCCGGAUUUAUUGGGUUUAAAGGGAGCGUAGGUGGGGUGUUAAGUCAGUUGUGAAAGUUUGCGGCUCAACCGUAAAAGUGCAAUUGAUACUGGCAGUCUUGAGUGCAGUUGAGGUAGGCAGAAUGCGUGGUGUAGCGGUGAAAUGCUUAGAUAUCACGAAGAACUCCGAUUGCGAAGGCAGCUUACUAACCUGCCACUGACAUUGAUGCUCGAAAGUGUGGGUAUCGAACAGGAUUAGAUACCCGAGUAGUC